UACGUAGGGUGCAAGCGUUAAUCGGAAUUACUGGGCGUAAAGCGUGCGCAGGCGGUUUGCUAAGACAGGUGUGAAAGCCCCGGGCUUAACCUGGGAAUUGCGCUUGUGACUGGCAGACUGGAGUGUGGCAGAGGGAGGUGGAAUUCCACGUGUAGCAGUGAAAUGCGUAGAGAUGUGGAGGAACACCGAUGGCGAAGGCAGCCUCCUGGGCCAGCACUGACGCUCAUGCACGAAAGCGUGGGGAGCAAACAGG
rnacentral:rRNA from 1 species